AUGCCCAGCACAGUGGCUGCUGCUCUCAAUGAACACACAAUUCCUCUGUCAGAUAUUUUCUUUUCAGAUUCCAGUUUGAAUUCAACAGAAGUAAUACUUUCUACCUCUUCGACCACACUGAUAUUACCGUUACAUAUCCUGGGGAAAGUGAAACAAAUUGGGCUAUUGCAAGUUUGGUUACUGCUUGACUUGAUCUCAAAAGGUUAGGUAUCCAGUUCGCACAAACCAGAUUCCACGUCAGAUUCCUCAACAGAUUUUCUCUAGAAAAUGACUUUUGGCAUCAUAAUCAGUGGCAUUUUCCCUUUUGGCUGUAUUUUUAUUCAACUCUUUUUCCUUCUGAACAGUGUUUGGUGAGUAUUAUAUCUUCGUAAUCUCAAGAAUAUUAAUUGUUAAUAAACCAGUUUUCCUCUGUGCUAAGGUUAAAUUC
rnacentral:lncRNA from 1 species